rnacentral:rRNA from 1 species
CCGAAGGGCACACAAAGAGUGGAACCUGCGGCUUAAUUUGACUCAACACGGGAAAACUCACCAGGUCCGGAUACACGUAUGAAAGUCAAGCUGAAAGACUUUACUCAAUGAUGUAAGUGGUGGUGCAUGGUCGUUCUUAGUUCGUGGAUUGAUUUGUCUGGUCUAUUCCGAUAACGAGCGAGACCCCGGCGUUCCUAAUAGGGGCGGCAGCCAAGCCGGUCGCAAGAUCGGCUAGCUCGCCGCCUGAAGUUAUACUUCUUAGACGUAUCAGAGCCGACAAGGUUCUUGAAAUGGGUUAAUAACAGGUCAGUCAUGCCCUUAGAUGUUCUGGGCCGCACGCGCGUUACAAUGGCACGUAUACCGAGUGCUUGAAUAAGGCGUCCCCGGGGCCGAAAGGUCUCGGUAACCCUUAGUCCUUGCUUUGACUGGGACAGAUCUUUGCAAUUAUUGGUCUCAAACGAGGAAUUUUUAGUAAUCGUAGGUCAUUAACCUGCGUUGAAUGCGUCCCUGCCCUUUGUACACACCGCC